GACGAACGCCGGCGGCGUGCCUAACACAUGCAAGUCGAACGAGAAAGUGGAGCAAUCCAUGAGUAAAGUGGCGCACGGGUGAGUAACACGUGACUAACCUACCCUUGAGUUCGGAAUAACUUCGGGAAACCGAGGCUAAUACCGGAUAACAUCUACGGAUCAAAGGAGCAAUUCGCUUAAGGAGGGGGUCGCGGCUGAUUAGCUAGUUGGUGAGGUAAUGGCUCACCAAGGCAGUGAUCAGUAUCCGGCCUGAGAGGGCGCACGGACACACUGGAACUGAAACACGGUCCAGACUCCUACGGGAGGCAGCAGUGGGGAAUUUUGCACAAUGGGGGAAACCCUGAUGCAGCAACGCCGCGUGGAGGAUGAAGCCCCUUGGGGCGUAAACUCCUUUCGACCGGGACGAUAAUGACGGUACCGGUGGAAGAAGCCCCGGCUAACUCUGUGCCAGCAGCCGCGGUAAUACAG
rnacentral:rRNA from 1 species